UCACCACUAACAUCGGAACAAGGAUUAUUUAUAUUUUAUUUCGUUCUUGGAUUAACAUGCAAAUUGGCUACAAGCCUAAUAAGCAUUUAAAUAAAAAUUCACAAAAGUAAUUUGGGCAUAAUCCAUCUUCAAUAGGCAUGAAAUGUCUACCCUAAUCUAAGGUGCCCUAGUGAGGAGAUCAGCCUUCCAUGAAGUGGUGGAUGGCAGCAGCAGCACAGCAGCGGGCUCCCAUUCCUUCCUUCUCUUUCUCCUUUGAAAUAUUCCCAAAAUAGCCAAAGUCCUCUCUCUCC
rnacentral:lncRNA from 1 species